rnacentral:rRNA from 1 species
AUUGAACGCUGGCGGCAGGCCUAACACAUGCAAGUCGAGCGGAUGAAGGGAGCUUGCUCCUGGAUUCAGCGGCGGACGGGUGAGUAAUGCCUAGGAAUCUGCCUGGUAGUGGGGGAUAACGUCCGGAAACGGGCGCUAAUACCGCAUACGUCCUGAGGGAGAAAGUGGGGGAUCUUCGGACCUCACGCUAUCAGAUGAGCCUAGGUCGGAUUAGCUAGUUGGUGGGGUAAAGGCCUACCAAGGCGACGAUCCGUAACUGGUCUGAGAGGAUGAUCAGUCACACCGGAACUGAGACACGGUCCAGACUCCUACGGGAGGCAGCAGUGGGGAAUAUUGGACAAAGGGCGAAAGCCUGAUCCAGCCAUGCCGCGUGUGUGAAGAAGGUCUUCGGAUUGUAAAGCACUUUAAGUUGGGAGGAAGGGCAGUAAGUUAAUACCUUGCUGUUUCGACGUUACCAACAGAAUAAGCACCGGCUAACUUCGUG